AAUUCGAUUUUGGAGGGCAAGUCUGGUGCCAGCAGCCGCGGUAAUUCCAGCUCCAAUAGCGUAUAUUAAAGUUGUUGCAGUUAAAAAGCUCGUAGUUGAAUUUCGGGAUCAAUAUAUUGGUCAUGCUUAGGUAUGUACUGGUAUUAUUGAUUUCUCCCUUCUGAAGAACCAUGAUGUCAUUAAUUUGAUGUCAUGGGGAAUCAGGACUGUUACUUUGAAAAAAUUAGAGUGUUUAAAGCAGGCUUUCGCUUGAAUACAUUAGCAUGGAAUAAUGAAAUAGGACGUUUGAUUCUAUUUUGUUGGUUUCUAGGAUCGACGUAAUGAUUAAUAGGGAUAGUUGGGGGCAUUAGUAUUCAAUUGUCAGAGGUGAAAUUCUUGGAUUUAUUGAAGACUAACUACUGCGAAAGCAUUUGCCAAGGAUGUUUUCAUUAAUCAAGAACGAAAGUUAGGGGAUCGAAGACGAUCAGAUACCGUCGUAGUCUUAACCAUAAACUAUGCCGACUAGGGAUCGGAUGAUGUUAAUUUUUUAAUGACUCAUUCGGCGCCUUACGGGAAACAAUCACUAGUG
rnacentral:rRNA from 1 species